GAUGAACGCUAGCUACAGGCUAAACACAUGCAAGUCGAGGGGUAACGAGAGGAAAGCUUGCUUUCCUUGUCGACGACCGGCGCACGGGUGAGUAACGCGUAUCCAACCUGCCCCCAACUAAGGAAUAACCUUGCGAAAGUAAGACUAAUACCCUAUAAUUUCCUCAGAUGACAUCUGACGAGGAAUAAAGAUUUAUCGGUUGUGGAUGGGGAUGCGUCUGAUUAGCUUGUUGGCGGGGUAACGGCCCACCAAGGCAACGAUCAGUAGGGGUUCUGAGAGGAAGGUCCCCCACAUUGGAACUGAGACACGGUCCAAACGCCUACGGGAGGCAGCAGUGAGGAAUAUUGGUCAAUGGGCGAAAGCCUGAACCAGCCAAGUAGCGUGCAGGAUGACGGCCCUAUGGGUUGUAAACUGCUUUUAUACAGGAAUAAAGUUAGCCACGUGUGGUUAUUUGUAGGUACUGUAUGAAUAAGGACCGGCUAAUUCCGUGCCAGCAGCCGCCGUAA
rnacentral:rRNA from 1 species